UACGGGGGUGCAAGGCGUUGCUCGGAAUCACUGGGCGUAAAGCGUCCGCAGGCGGCUUGGUAAGUCGGGUGUGAAAUCCCGGGGCUCAACCCCGGGAACUGCAUUCGAAACUGCCUGGCUUGAGUACGGGAGAGGGUCGUGGAUUCCUGGUGAGAGGUGAAAUUCGUAGAUAUCAGGAGGAACACCGGUGGCGAAAGCGGCGACCUGGCCCGAUACUGACGCUCAUGGACGAAAGCGUGGGGAGCAAACAGG
rnacentral:rRNA from 1 species